rnacentral:rRNA from 1 species
AUUGAACGCUGGCGGCAUGCCUUACACAUGCAAGUCGAACGGCAGCACGGGUGCUUGCACCUGGUGGCGAGUGGCGAAAGGGUGAGUAAUACAUCGGAACAUGUCCUGUAGCGGGGGAUAGCCCGGCGAAAGCCGGAUUAAUACCGCAUACGAACUACGGAUGAAAGCGGGGGACCUUCGGGCCUCGCGCUAUAGGGUUGGCCGAUGGCUGAUUAGCUAGUUGGUGGGGUAAAGGCCUACCAAGGCGACGACCAGGAGCUGGUCUGAGAGGACGACCAGCCACACUGGGACUGAGACACGGCCCUGACUCCUACGGGAGGCAGCAGUGGGGAAUUUUGGACAAUGGGCGAAAGCCUGAUCCAGCAAUGCCGCGUGUGUGAAGAAGGCCUUCGGGUUGUAAAGCACUUUUGUCCGGAAAGAAAUCCUUGGCCCUAGUACGGUCGGGGGAUGACGGUACCGGAAGAAUAAGCACCGGCUAACUACGUG